rnacentral:lncRNA from 1 species
ACCUGAGCUUCCAGACCUGAGCUUCCAGACAGAUGAGUCAACGAUGUGUCAACGUCAGAGAACCCCCACCACUUCUGGAUCCAGAUUCUGGGGCUGGACAAACUUAUUGCCGAGAUGAGCUGCUUCUACAGCAAAGGAACCCGGCAGGAGCAGCGAGUGGAGAUCUUCAUGGUGGGGGACAUUGCGGCUGCUCCGUACCCGGACUAUAGCACCUGGAACAGGGCGAGGCUCCUGGGGGUGAUGGGCUCUGGCUUGGUGGACCUCCACUAUGUCGACUUUGGAGACAAUAUUGAACAACCCAGGGACAGUCUACAAAGUAUGAGGUGUGAGGUCAGGGUUAAGAGGUUAGGGCUCUGAAAUAAAUAAUUUUGUUUCCAAGAAAGAGCUGGACAAUACAUUCCAGCAUUCCUCGUUGUAUUGCAAACGUAAUAAAUAAUAGAUGAAAGCUGUUACUCUAAUAGCUGUUAGCUAUUUGGCUAAUGGUUUGUCUUUUCUUCUCUCAUGCCCCUUUUAGGAGUUACUUCCUCAGCCUACCAUUCCAGGUCAUCGAGUGCAGCUUAGCUGGAGUCAACCCAGCAGGCCGGUGUGGAGAGAAGAAGUCCUGGAUGACUUUGACCGCCUGACAUAUGUUGCCUAGUAGAGACCCCUGCUGGCCAAACUGUGCAGCUACACCCACUCUGGCUCAGUGUACUGUACAGCUCUACAACGCAGAGGGCAAGAUCAGUACUAACCUGGACUGGGGAGAGGAGCUGGUGAGUCUUGGCCAUGCUGUGCCUAGCCAGGAUAAUUGGAACGGUAAGGGCGACAGGGACGACCCCGGAUCACCACAGAGGAUGUUGGUAAGAGCACAAGGCAGAGGAGAGGGAAAAUAAAUUAGAGCGAUUUAGAGAUGCAAAGUAUGUAACUAUAUCCGGGUUUCCGUUAGCUGGUAAUAGACGGCUUUUGAAUUAUAUAUUUUGUUUGUUGAAAAAACAACAAAUAAAAUUAGGUUUGUGCAGAUUUAUACAAUAUUACGACGUUCAGAAUGAGACUGAUAUGAGGUAAUAAUAAUUAAUGGAUGACUAAUGCGAUAACGAUAUGUUCUGAUAUUCUUGAGUUUAUUUUGGGAAACGGUAACUCAUUAAACAAACUUUUUCUGUGGCGCCCCAAGAUUGCUAAGGAGUUAAUUGUUACAUGAUUAAUUUAACCAUCGUAUUAAUUAAACAUAGUUAAUUGAUUUGAUAAAAUAAUCGCCAUCACAUUAAUGAUAUUCACAUUAUGUACAAAAUAAGUUGCAGAUAACGCGAAAAAACAUACACAAUAGCACAUUUGGUUACAGGAUCGUAAAACGGCAGCCAUCUCAAUCGGCGCCAAAAUCAGACCAUAUACGUGGAGGCAAUUAUUUUAUAUAAACUUUCUUUCAUUUUCCAGUAGCCAAACUCACAAUCCUAGUCAUAUUAGCAACCCAUGCGAGUUACUGAAUAUUAGGUCUCCCCUCUUUCAAAUUUCUGAAAGGACAUUUUCAUCUUGGUCACAUGAUAUCCGUCACAUUAAACCGCUCACAUGAACGGUGUGCUUUUGAAAGUGGUAUUCUCCUGCUAAUUGAAUUAUUGUGCGCGUUGCUGCCCUUAUAAUGUCAUGAAAUAAUACACUGAACAAGAAUAUAAACACAACAUGCAACUAUUUCUAAUAUUUUUAUGAGUUACAGUUCAUAUAAGGAAAUCCGUCGGUUGAAAUAUAUUCAUUAGCCCCUAGUCUAUGGAUUUCAUAUUAAUACAGAUAUGCUUCUGUUGGCCACAGAUACCUUAAAAAAAGGUUGGGGCGUGGAUCAGAAAACCAGUCAGUAUCUGGUGUGACCACCAUUUGCCUCAUGCAGCGCGACACAUCUCCUUCGCAUAGAGUUGAUCAGGC